CUGACAGCAUUGGACGCUGAAGUCCUCUAUUUAUGUCCGGAAUAGAUAUACCAGAGGCAGUGGUAGUGCCAGCUUCCCCACACUAACCCAUCAACGUGCCUCAACCCCGACCUAGAAUGGAGUGAGAAGACAAUUUGGGGUCUGAUCCAAUUGGAGUCAUUCCACU
rnacentral:sRNA from 1 species